rnacentral:rRNA from 1 species
AUGAGCAAGCCUAUGGGUCCCAAGAAUCGAGGUCUAUCUACCUAUGAGAAAGAAUGCAUGGCAAUAUUGAUGGCAGUUGAAUAGUGGCACCCCUACUUACAAACUGAAGAAUUCAUCAUUAGAACGGGCCAACGUUGUCUCGUACACUUGGAUAAUCAGCGACUCUCUAUUCCUUGGCAACAAAAGGCCUUCACCAAGCUCCUGGAUCUGAGGUACAAGAUCAUUUAAAGGCAGGGAUUCACUAAUAAUGCCGCUGGUGCACUUUCCCGACAUGCUCUUUCAAAGGAGCGUUUGUUAGCAAUGUUAGACUAUCAACCAGCUGGCUACAGGAUGUUGUUGACAGUUACGCAUCCAAUCCUCAGUUGA